rnacentral:rRNA from 1 species
CUUUAACACUGAGGCGUGACGACGAGGCACUACGGUGCUGAAGCAACAAAUGCCCUGCUUCCAGGAAAAGCCUCUAAGCAUCAGGUAACACGAAAUCGUACCCCAAACCGACACAGGUGGUCAGGUAGAGAAUACCAAGGCGCUUGAGAGAACUCGGGUGAAGGAACUAGGCAAAAUGGUGCCGUAACUUCGGGAGAAGGCACGCUGACACGUAGGUGAAGUGAUUUACUCAUGGAGCUGAAGUCAGUCGAAGAUACCAGCUGGCUGCAACUGUUUAUUAAAAACACAGCACUGUGCAAACACGAAAGUGGACGUAUACGGUGUGACGCCUGCCCGGUGCCGGAAGGUUAAUUGAUGGGGUCAGCGCAAGCGAAGCUCCUGAUCGAAGCCCCGGUAAACGGCGGCCGUAACUAUAACGGUCCUAAGGUAGCGAAAUUCCUUGUCGGGUAAGUUCCGACCUGCACGAAUGGCGUAAUGAUGGCCAGGCUGUCUCCACCCGAGACUCAGUGAAAUUGAACUCGCUGUGAAGAUGCAGUGUACCCGCGGCAAGACGGAAAGACCCCGUGAACCUUUACUAUAGCUUGACACUGAACAUUGAGCCUUGAUGUGUAGGAUAGGUGGGAGGCUUUGAAGUGUGGACGCCAGUCUGCAUGGAGCCGACCUUGAAAUACCACCCUUUAAUGUUUGAUGUUCUAACGUGGACCCGUAAUCCGGGUUGCGGACAGUGUCUGGUGGGUAGUUUGACUGGGGCGGUCUCCUCCUAAAGAGUAACGGAGGAGCACGAAGGUUGGCUAAUCCUGGUCGGACAUCAGGAGGUUAGUGCAAUGGCAUAAGCCAGCUUGACUGCGAGCGUGACGGCGCGAGCAGGUGCGAAAGCAGGUCAUAGUGAUCCGGUGGUUCUGAAUGGAAGGGCCAUCGCUCAACGGAUAAAAGGUACUCCGGGGAUAACAGGCUGAUACCGCCCAAGAGUUCAUAUCGACGGCGGUGUUUGGCACCUCGAUGUCGGCUCAUCACAUCCUGGGGCUGAAGUAGGUCCCAAGGGUAUGGCUGUUCGCCAUUUAAAGUGGUACGCGAGCUGGGUUUAGAACGUCGUGAGACAGUUCGGUCCCUAUCUGCCGUGGGCGCUGGAGAACUGAGGGGGGCUGCUCCUAGUACGAGAGGACCGGAGUGGACGCAUCACUGGUGUUCGGGUUGUCAUGCCAAUGGCACUGCCCGGUAGCUAAAUGCGGAAGAGAUAAGUGCUGAAAGCAUCUAAGCACGAAACUUGCCCCGA